rnacentral:rRNA from 1 species
CCUACGGGGGGCAGCAGUGAGGAAUAUUGGUCAAUGGACGAGAGUCUGAACCAGCCAAGUAGCGUGAAGGAUGACUGCCCUAUGGGUUGUAAACUUCUUUUAUAUGGGAAUAAAAUGUUCCACGUGUGGGAUUUUGUAUGUACCAUAUGAAUAAGGAUCGGCUAACUCCGUGCCAGCAGCCGCGGUAAUACGGAGGAUCCGAGCGUUAUCCGGAUUUAUUGGGGUUAAAGGGAGCGUAGGUGGAUUGUUAAGUCAGUUGUGAAAGUUUGCGGCUCAACCGUAGAAUUGCAGUUGAAACUGGCAGUCUUGAGUGCAGUAGAGGUAGGCGGAAUGCGUGGUGUAGCGGUGAAAUGCUUAGAGAUCACGAAGAACUCCGAUUGCGAAGGCAGUUCACUGGACUGCAACUGACACUGAGGCACGAAAGUGUGGGUAUCAAACAGGAUUAGAUACCCUAGUAGUC